CACUUCAGACCUAGAGACACAUACAGACUGAAAACAAUUUCCAAUUCGUCUCCACAAAGAGACCAGAAUAAGCACCUUCCAAUACACGAUUUAUAGUGUUGCUUUAAUUUAAAGCAUACAGUGACUUCUACAUUCACUCCACCAAGUUUUGCCAGGAGAGAAAAGGAGACGUUAUAGUUUGUCUUGAAUUAGAUAUGCCACCAUACGUGACUUAGCUCAUCCUACUGGAAGCACUUUGAGGGCAGAUUCUACAGUCUUGUCUUACAUCCUCUACGGAAUCAAGCCAAGGGAAUCACACACAGUUACAGCUGGAAAAACAUUUGUUCUGGGUUAAUACUUUUAGCCUUUACCACCAAGACUUUAUCACCAAGACCUACCUUUACAGUCUCUAAACAGGAGACCUUCUUGCCUUCCCUUUUCAUAUUGACUAGGAAGGUAAAGGGAAGAACUGAGAAGUACCCAAAGUCAGCUAGCAGCCAGCACAGAUAAAUCAUCUGUGGAGAUAUUGUUUCUUUCAAAAGAUAUAAACAUAAGAGGAAGUCCUAGUGUUUGAAGCAACUGUGCAUAAUAAAAUUCCAUGAAAACCUAGAAAUCCAGAUGCAGAUCAGUAACAUAUUGGUUAAAUAAGCUGUUAUGUUCAUGCAAUGGACAAGUGUACAUACAUUAAGAAGAACGAGAUACUCUUUUCUAUGAGAUUCUCUUUUCACUGAACUCAUCAGUGCUGCAAACACAAUGUUACAUAAUACUUUUUCUUUAACAUUAUAUCAGGCAUCCUCAUCUUGUCCUGCAUUUAUUGCCAGUGUUACUAAAGUCUAUCACUUACCUCUUUCUCUUUUAGACAUAUAAUUUCUUCUUAUUUUGGAAGCAUUCAUCAAUCCCUAUUUUACUCUUUCUUUUAAAUUACAAAUGAAUAUUGAAUUUUAUAAAAUAUCUUUUGGGGGAUAUUUCAAGUGAUUGUAUACUUUUGCUCUCCUUUGACCUUGUUAUAUGGUAAAUUAUAUUUUGUUAUUU